AGUCAUAGUAAAUGAUAUAAAACGACAGUUAACUUCAACUUAUCAUCCUCUCCGUCGAUCACCGACCGACUUAUUCCCCCCAAAUUCCCUAUUUCCUCCUUUCUCCAAUCCGCGUAUUUGAAAACCUAGAAAAUCAAUCGCAGCAAAAUUUCACUCGGCCCCCGCGCUGUGCCGUGCCGUGCCGCCCGCAUUCAACAGAAUUAAACGCUGCGUUAUAUACACUUAAAAGAGAGGAGAUGGAGCACCAGGAGAAUGAAUACGAGGAGCAUGAGCACGAGGUUUACGGAGGAGACAUACCCGAUGAAGAAGGAGAGAUGGAUGCCGAGUAUGAUGAAACAUCUGCAGCCGCUGAGUCCGAGGAUGACCCAAAUGCUAAGGAAUUAGAAAAUAUGAAGAAGAGAUUGAAGGAGAUAGAGGAUGAAGCAGGCGCUCUUCGUGAAAUGGAGGCCAAGGUCGAGAAAGAGAUGGGCUCUGCACAAGGUUUUACUCAUCUGAAUAUCACAAUUCUGUAAAUUUGGCAGUGCCUCUGUCUGUUCUUUUGCAAUACUGUGCAAUAUUGACACCUCUGAAAGGUCCAAUCGGAACUUAUAUUAGAGUCAUCCAUUGGUCUUCGCAGCACCAGGUUUGAUAGAAAAAAUCAUCUUGAUUUCAGACUCAAAAGAUCUUCUCAAAUUCGGAAUAAAAAAUUUCCUUUAAGUUGGCAUUAUAAAAGACCUUGGAAGGGGGAAACGGUACAAUAACAACAACAUACCCAGGGUAUUCCCACAAGUGGAGUGUAGGGAGGAUGGUGUGUAUGCAGACAUUACCCCUAUCUUGUGCAAGUAGAGAGGUUCAAAGAUGAAAGAAAACGUGAAAGAAAGAAUCUUCUAAAAAAAGCGAAAGAUAGACGAAAAUACAAGUGUUAAGCAUUGUGGUGAAGAAAAUUUGAGCCAAGUGCACUGGUCUAUCGCUGAGAUGCAAGUUUCAAAGUUUCGGAUGAAACCUCCAUCAGUGGUUUCCUAAUAAGGUGAUCAGCAAAGGAACAAUGGUCUGUUCAUAGUUAUUUUGACUUUGGGUACAUCAUUUUGGGGAGGCUGCUUUUGUGAAGUUUUCGCUAGAGCUUGAUGCCUUGAUCUGGUUCCUGCUGCCUUUGACUGUAGUCCCUCUGAAAUAUGUUAUUAAGGGAAGGGGGAGAGGGCAAGUUAUAGUAAUGGGUUAACACUUGCCUAGUAGAAGAUGCCAGUUUAUGAGAUGCAAUUUAAAUUUUCUACCUUAUCAGAUAAAUGAGAUGCAAAAUCAGUUUGCUUUAUCACUAACAGUUUGUGCUUCUAGAGCAAUAGUUAACACUUCCCAUUUUUGUUGGAGAAGAUUGUUUGAGUAUGCAAGCCAGUUAUUGCUAAAUGAAAACAAAGUAGUGCUACAAAAUGAUUGGGAUUGUAUCUCUCUGCUGCAAUUGUAGGUAGGCAACUCUUGGUUGCAAUUAAUGUAGUUUAUUCGUGGACACUCUACACUUGGAAGGUUUUAAUAUAUUAAUUCAAAGGCUCAAAGCCUUGUCAAAAUUGUAUUGUAUUUUUUGAUCUCUCAAUCUUCUUCAAACAAAGUUUUUUUACGUCUCAUUUCAUUUGGUUUAGGUUUUAAAGAGUGGUUAGUUGCAGAAUUAUUACACUUUCCAUUUUUGUUGGAGAAGAUUGUUUGAGUAUGCGAGCCAGUUAUUGGUAAAUGAAAACAAAGUACUGCUACAAAGUGAUUGGGAUUGUAUCUCUCUGCUGCAAUUGUGGGCAGGCAACUCUUGGUUGCAAUUAACUUUAUGGAUUCGCUAAAGUUAGUUUUUGCUUUGUUUAGUCAAGCAAUGGUUAUUGCUUCAAUUUUGUUAAUGGGCCUUAGGACCUGAAUGAAUCCACUCACUUAUAUCGAUUAUAUUU